UAGAUUUUAGGUCAAGCUACAAAGGGCGCAUGGUGAAUGCCUUGGCACUAGGAGCCGAUGAAGGACGUGAUAAGCUGCGAUAAGCUUCGGGUAGCCGCAAAUAGGCUGAGAUCCGAAGAUUUCCGAAUGAGGAAACUCACAUGGGUAACCCCAUGUAUCAUAUACUCAAUACAUAGGUAUAUGAGGGUAAACCCGGGGAACUGAAACAUCUAAGUACCCGGAGGAAGAGAAAGAAAAAUCGAUUUCCUAAGUAGCGGCGAGCGAAAGGGAAAGAGCCCAAACCAGAAACUUGUUUCUGGGGUUGCGGAUAGAUCAUAAACAAGUUUAGUUUUAACCGAAGAAAGCUGGAACGCUUUACCACAGAAGGUAAUAGUCCUGUAGGUGAAAAGACGACACUUUAAGAUCUACUCCAGAGUACCAUAAGACACGUGAAACCUUGUGGGAAGCUGGGAGGACCACCUCCCAAGGCUAAAUACUACCUAGUGACCGAUAGUGAAGCAGUACCGUGAGGGAAAGGUGAAAAGAACCCCGGAAGGGGAGUGAAAUAGAACCUGAAACCGUGUGCCUACAACCGAUCGUAGCACGUUAAUGUGUGACGAUGUGCUUUUUGUAGAACGAGCCAGCGAGUUACGUUAUGUAGCAAGGUUAAGUACUUAAGGUAUGAAGCCGAAGGGAAACCGAGUCUGAAUAGGGCGCUAAGUUGCAUGAUGUAGACCCGAAACCGGGUGACCUAUCCAUGGCCAGGAUGAAGCGAAAGUAAAAUUUCGUGGAGGUCCGAACCACGUUGGUGUUGAAAAACCAUGGGAUGAGCUGUGGAUAGCGGAGAAAUUCCAAUCGAACUCGGAGAUAGCUGGUUCUCCUCGAAAUAGCUUUAGGGCUAGCGUCGUGUAAUUGAGUAAUGGAGGUAGAGCACUGAAUGGGCUAGGGGCUGACAACAGUUACCGAACCCUAUCAAACUCCGAAUGCCAUAUACUUGUAUCACGGCAGUCAGACUACGAAUGAUAAGAUCCGUGGUCAAAAGGGAAACAGCCCAGACCAUCAGCUAAGGUCCCAAAGUGUAAGUUAAGUGGAAAAGGAUGUGGGAUUUCUAAGACAACUAGGAUGUUGGCUUAGAAGCAGCCACUCAUUUAAAGAGUGCGUAAUAGCUCACUAGUCAAGAGAUCCUGCGCCGAAGAUGUCCGGGGCUCAAACUUACCACCGAAGCUAUGGAUGUGUACUUCGUACACGUGGUAGAGGAGCUUUCUGUAUGGGUUGAAGUCAUACCGUAAGGAGUGGUGGACUGUACAGAAGUGAGAAUGCUGGCAUAAGUAGCGAGAAAUAAGUGAGAAUCUUAUUGGUCGAAAACCUAAGGUUUCCUGAGGAAGGUUCGUCCGCUCAGGGUUAGUCGGGACCUAAGCCGAGGCCGAAAGGCGUAGGUGAUGGACAAUCGGUUGAUAUUCCGAUACCACCCAUUUGCGUUUGAGAAAUGGGGUGACGCAGUAGGAUAAGAUGUGCGCACUAUUGGAUGUGCGUCUAAGCACUUAGACAUGCUUGAUAGGCAAAUCCGUCAAGCUUAGUUGAGGUGUUAUGGGGAGCUAAUUUUAGCGAAGUAU
rnacentral:rRNA from 1 species